rnacentral:tRNA from 1 species
GGGAGUGUAGCUCAGUGGUAGAGUGCUUGUCUAGCAAGGGCAAGGUCCUGGGUUCGAUUCCCAGCACCA